rnacentral:rRNA from 1 species
UUGGAGGGCAAGUCUGGUGCCAGCAGCCGCGGUAAUUCCAGCUCCAAUAGCGUAUAUUAAAGUUGUUGCAGUUAAAAAGCUCGUAGUUGAAUUUCGAGAUCAAAUUGUUGAUCGUGCCUCGGUACGUACUGGCAUUAUUGAUUUCUCCCUUCUGAAGAACCUUGAUGUCAUUAAUUUGGUGUCUUGGGGAAUCAGGACCGUUACUUUGAAAAAAUUAGAGUGUUUAAAGCAGGCUCACGCUUGAAUACAUUAGCAUGGAAUAAUGAAAUAGGACGUUUGAUUCUAUUUUGUUGGUUUCUAGGAUCGACGUAAUGAUUAAUAGGGAUAGUUGGGGGCAUUAGUAUUCAAUUGUCAGAGGUGAAAUUCUUGGAUUUAUUGAAGACUAACUACUGCGAAAGCAUUUGCCAAGGAUGUUUUCAUUAAUCAAGAACGAAAGUUAGGGGAUCGAAGACGAUCAGAUACCGUCGUAGUCUUAACCAUAAACUAUGCCGACUAGGGAUCGGAUGAUGUUAAUUUUUUAAUGACUCAUUCGGCGCCUUACGGGAAAC